rnacentral:tRNA from 1 species
ACAGGAAUGGCGGAACUGGCAUACGCGCUUGACUUAGAAUCAAGAUACUGAGAGUUCGAAUCUCUCUUCCUGUA